GCCACAGUCUCUGCAUGUUUCCAAGAGCAACAGGAAAUGAACACAUUGCAGGGGCCAGUGUCAUUCAAAGAUGUGGCUGUGGAUUUCACCCAGGAGGAGUGGCGGCAACUGGACCCUGAUGAGAAGAUAGCAUACGGGGAUGUGAUGUUGGAGAACUACAGCCAUCUAGUUUCUGUGGGUGAGGAUGGCUUGCUUUCUGAAUGCUCUCAGUUGAAUGGGGUUUUAUCCU
rnacentral:lncRNA from 1 species